UACGUAGGCUCCGAGCGUUGUCCGGAAUUAUUGGGCGUAAAGAGCUCGUAGGCGGUUUGUCGCGUCUGCUGUGAAAUCCCGAGGCUCAACCUCGGGUCUGCAGUGGGUACGGGCAGACUGGAGUGCGGUAGGGGAGAAUGGAAUUCCUGGUGUAGCGGUGGAAUGCGCAGAUAUCAGGAGGAACACCGAUGGCGAAGGCAGUUCUCUGGGCCGUAACUGACGCUGAGGAGCGAAAGCGUGGGGAGCGAACAGG
rnacentral:rRNA from 1 species